GAGUCAGUCAGAAACGCAUGAAGAGAAGAUUUCAAACACGAGUUAAAACUCGUGUUUGAAAUCUUCUCUUCAUGCGUUUCUGACUGAAACGCGUGUUU